CAGUCGCCGCGGUAAUACGUAGGUCCCGAGCGUUGUCCGGAUUUAUUGGGCGUAAAGCGAGCGCAGGCGGUUAGAUAAGUCUGAUGUGAAAGCCCCCGGCUCAACCGGGGAGGGUCAUUGGAAACUGGGAAACUUGAGUGCAGAAGAGGAGAGUGGAAUUCCACGUGUAGCGGCGAAAUGCGUAGAGAUGUGGAGGAACACCAGUGGCGAAGGCGACUCUCUGGUCUGUAACUGACGCUGAGGAGCGAAAGCGUGGGGAGCGAACAGGAUUAGAUACCCCCGUAGUCCCUGUCUCUUAUAC
rnacentral:rRNA from 1 species